GCUUCCCGUAGUGACAGAAAAUGUGCUUUGAUAGCCGCAGUAAAGGCAGUUGGUGUUUUAUUAAAGAAAACUAGUGAAUUAAAGAGCUUGGGACCAUAAAUGGAGAAGCUUACCGAAGAUAGGGCCUUUCAAGUGAAGGAGAGUAAGGAAAGUGGUUUGAGGUAUUCCAAGACGUAAAGAAUCCUGUCUUUUGUGUGGAAUUCAAGAUAUUGAGCAACAAUUCCCACAAGAAGAAGCAAUUGCCUCCAGGGUACUAUGGACAUGUGGCAAUAUAAAUCCAAAGGACA